rnacentral:rRNA from 1 species
UACGUAGGGUGCGAGCGUUGUCCGGAAUUAUUGGGCGUAAAGAGCGUGUAGGCGGCCAGGUAGGUCUGCUGUGAAAACUCGAGGCUUAACCUCGAGAUGUCGGCGGAAACCAUCUGGCUAGAGUCCGGAAGAGGAGAGUGGAAUUCCUGGUGUAGCGGUGAAAUGCGCAGAUAUCAGGAAGAACACCCGUGGCGAAGGCGGCUCUCUGGGACGGUACUGACGCUGAGACGCGAAAGCGUGGGGAGCGAACAGG